rnacentral:rRNA from 1 species
UACGGAGGGUGCAAGCGUUAUCCGGAUUCACUGGGUUUAAAGGGUGCGUAGGUGGGCAAGUAAGUCAGUGGUGAAAUCUCCGGGCUUAACCCGGAAACUGCCAUUGAUACUAUUUGUCUUGAAUACUGUGGAGGUCAGCGGAAUAUGUCAUGUAGCGGUGAAAUGCUUAGAUAUGACAUAGAACACCAAUUGCGAAGGCAGCUGGCUACACAAAUAUGCACUG